rnacentral:rRNA from 1 species
GUCUAUGGCCAUACCACCCUGAAUGCCCCAUCUCGUCUGAUCUCGGAAUCUAAGCAGGGUCGGGCCUGGUUAGUACUUAGUACUUGGAUGGGAGAAUUGUCUCAGUUUCUUUCUAUC